rnacentral:rRNA from 1 species
CACGUAGGGCGCGAGCGUUGUCCGGAAUUAUUGGGCGUAAAGAGCUCGUAGGCGGCUUGAUAAGUCGGAUGUGAAACCUCCAGGCUCAACCUGGAGUCGCCAUCCGAUACUGUCAUGGCUAGAGUCCGGUAGGGGCCCACGGAAUUCCUGGUGUAGCGGUGAAAUGCGCAGAUAUCAGGAGGAACACCGGUGGCGAAGGCGGUGGGCUGGGCCGGCACUGACGCUGAGGAGCGAAAGCGUGGGGAGCGAACAGG